AAAGGAAUUGACGGGACCCCGCACAAGCGGUGGAUCAUGUUGUUUAAUUCGAGGAUACGCGAAAAACCUUACCAGGUCUUGACAUCCCCUGCGAAGCUAUAGAGAUAUAGUGGAGGUUAACAGGGAGACAGGUGGUGCAUGGUUGUCGUCAGCUCGUGUCGUGAGAUGUUGGGUUAAGUCCCGCAACGAGCGCAACCCUUAUUGCUAGUUACCAUCAUUCAGUUGGGGACUUUAGCGAGACUGCCAGUGAUAAACUGGAGGAAGGUGGGGAUGACGUCAAAUCAUCAUGCCCCUUAUGACCUGGGCUACAAACGUGAUACAAUGGCUGGCACAAAGAGCGGCGAAGCAGUGAUGUGGAGCAAAACUCAUAAAGACAGUCUCAGUUCGGAUUGAAGUCUGCAACUCGACUUCAUGAAGUCGGAAUCGCUAGUAAUCGCAGAUCAGAAUGCUGCGGUGAAUACGUUCUCGGGGUUUGUACACACCGCCCGU
rnacentral:rRNA from 1 species